AGGAGGAAGAUCUGGACUCAGAAAAUGAGAAGCUGGUGGUGAGAGAGCCGGAAGAUGAGGAUGCUGCAGAUGAGACAUUCUCUUUUAAAUAUAGUCCUGGAAAGCUGAGGGGAAACCAGUACAAGUCAAUGAUGACCAAAGAGGAACUCGAGGAAGAACAAAGGGUUCAGAGAGAGCAGCUGGCUGCCAUCUUCAGGCUCAUGAAGGAAAAAAGUGACACAUUUGGAGAGAUGUCUGAAGGAGACAUGAAGGAGCAGCUUAGACUGUAUGAUAUAUAACCUUGCAGGCAGUGGAGACUAUGACCAAAAGUCAUCUUGGCCCUUACCAUGCAGGACACCGGAGGCUGUAGUGCUAUAAACGUGUUUCGGUAGUUAUUUUGCAGUUCCAGUUUGUUUUGCAAAUGUAUAUAAGCCUGUGAUAUGUAUUUCAAAAGACCUGUAAUUUCUCACUUUUUAAAUCAUUUUUCCUUAAAGA